rnacentral:rRNA from 1 species
UACGUAGGGUGCAAGCGUUGUCCGGAAUUAUUGGGCGUAAAGAGCUCGUAGGCGGUUCGUCGCGUCGGCUGUGAAAUCCCGAGGCUCAACCUCGGGUCUGCAGUCGAUACGGGCAGGCUGGAGUUCGGUAGGGGAGACUGGAAUUCCUGGUGUAGCGGUGAAAUGCGCAGAUAUCAGGAGGAACACCGGUGGCGAAGGCGGGUCUCUGGGCCGAUACUGACGCUGAGGAGCGAAAGCGUGGGGAGCGAACAGG